UUCACUCGCUGUCUUUACAGAAAGUUGUAGAAGUUUUCAGACGUGUCACUGCUGGAUGUGAGGAUGGGAGCCACUUUGCUCUGUGAGCUGGGCCUAUUCUUGCUCUGUACGCUCCUCUGCAGUGGACACGCUCAAGAUGCUGUGCUAACUAUUGAACCCAACUGGUCCAGUUUUUUCAUUGGAGAGUUCAUU